CCCAAAUUCGAAUAAAGCCCCCUUAUAAAGUCAAAAACCCUAAAAAUUCCUAUUCUCUUUCAUUUUCUCUUAGCCGUCACCUGCCUUCUUUCUCUCUCUUAAACUUCACUCUCUUUAACCCCUAAAAUCCUCUUUAUUGUUGUUCAAACACUAAAAUCCUCUUCUAUCCUUGAAUAUUUUUACAUCAUUCUAUGCCUCCUGAUAUUGUACACGUCACUAAGCCUCUCCUUUGUUUAUCCAAGCAAGUAGCGGCCAAUCAAAUCCAUCUCAAAGAGGAGAAGAUAAAUUACACCAUGAAGGAUGGGCAAAACAAAGAGAAUUAAAGAUUGUACUUAAUUAAAAAUCAGUGUAGCUUUUGAAAUUCAAUUUGUUAUUCGUUAAUUAGAUUUGGUUUGUAAUCCUUUAUGUACAUUUAUUAGACUAUUUUGUUUAAGAUUGAA